UGCGUAGGCGGCCAAAUCAGUCAGGCGUGAAAGUUUUCGGCUUAACCGGAAAAUUGCGUUUGAUACUGUUUGGCUAGAAUCAGGAUGAGGUUGGCGGAAUGUGGCAUGUAGCGGUGAAAUGCAUAGAUAUGCCAUAGAACACCGAUUGCGAAGGCAGCUGACUGGACCUGAAUUGACGCUGAGGCACGAAAGCGUGGGGAGCGAACAGGAUUAGAUACCCGAGUAGUCC
rnacentral:rRNA from 1 species